AUGGUCAUCUGUCCACGUUUAAAGAGUUUGAGGCAGCAAUAUCCUUGAAGGUUUUUUUAUGUUAUUAGUUUGCUUCUGAAACGCAUCUGCUCAAUCCUGCUGUGGUACAUAUCGCCCCAGCUCCACCCAGGUUAUGAAUGUCAGUGCUGAGUUCUGCCUUGAGAUAUGAAUUCAGUUUGUCUGGCAACAGUUCUGAUUAUAAUGUGUUUUGUGCAAUGAGUCACCAAGCUCAGCAUCUCCCCACAAUGGGGGAUUCUGUGUGGGGUUGAUUGCUUUCCUGACCAGCCUUGAUCACUUCUGAGUGCUGUAAGCUUGGAAUUACUGUGAUACUCUGCUGUUCGCUCCUCCAGCUACUUGGCCAUAGUAGUGCCUCUCUUUCAGGACUCUUGUGACAAAAACCCAGAGUGUGCCCAUGUUCAGUCAUUGACCUUCCAGUAUGGCUGUUUUUGCCACAGAGAAGAGAAAUUCUGACUAGCUAUAGAAGCCCCCUUUUCUUCCUCCCUUCCAUGUGCACACGCGUGCGCGCACACACACACACACACACACACACACACACACACAUACAGACACACGCUCAAUUAAGUCAAGCUGUUUUUUUCCAGUUAAAUAAACAUCACACCCUUGAAAGGAAGAACAAAUAGCGGGACUAUCCCCAAAGAAAACGUGCCUCUGGGCUUCUGGUUUUGAAGGUUUUGUAAUGUUUACUUUUCAGUGUUCUCUACUUGACUGCUUCCCUCUUUCAUUUGAUUUUAAAUACCAUGGUUUGAAUUAGCUAUCCUUGUGCCCUGACCCUGGGUAAGGGGUUGUCUUGACAGACAUGUGGCUCCCCAGCCCCUUCCUCCUUCAGAAGUGAGAGUGGUAGAGCUUGUAUCCAGAACCUGGAGAUACAGAAGCACGGCUGUUGUGUGGGUGCGUGUACACGGGGAUCUCAGCCACUGACACCCUCAAGACAUGUGUGGACUGUGACUCAAUCCAGGGUGUCAGGAAUACCUAUCCUGUAAUAUUGGAGACAACAUUCAAGGACACCUCUGGCUCAGGAAGGAAGGGGUGCUCCUGGAUGCUUUUCCAUUGCAGCCCGAACAGAAGGAACUUCUCAGAAAGAUCACUAAGAAGUCUCAACUUGGUUGUUGGGCUUGUCAUCUGAUGUACUCACAUGUAUUGUCAUCCUUCUUUCUGGAAUAUUCAUAUUUACCUCAUGACACUCUCUCUUCAUCCCUGCAAGGACCUGCAAAGUGCCUAUGUGCUGUAUGC
rnacentral:lncRNA from 1 species